CUUGACGACCAUAGAGCGUUGGAACCACCUGAUCCCAUCCCGAACUCAGAAGUGAAACGAUGCAUCGCCGAUGGUAGUGUGGAGUUUCUCCAUGUGAGAGUAGGUCAUCGUCAAGC
rfam:Pseudomonas knackmussii B13 complete genome